UUAUGAGGCUCGUGCUGCCCUCGUGGCAGCUAGCCGAAGGUUUCGCAAGAAGCCGAUGUCCAUUUGAAUCCUUUUUAAACAACGACUGAUCAAAACUGCAGAUAGAAAUGUCUGCAUUCAAUUGAAAUACAACUUUCAACAGUGGAUGUCUAGGCUCGCACACCGAUGAAGAACGCUGCGAACUGCGAUACGUAAUGCGAAUUGCAGAAUUCAGUGAGUCAUCAAAAUUUUGAACGCAUAUUGCACUUCCGGGUUAGUCCUGGGAGUAUGUUUGUAUCAGUGUCCGUGAACACAACCUUGUUUCAUUCCUUGAUGGUAUGAAGCAGACUUUGAAGGGCUUGUAAUUACAAGUCCUUUUAAACGACGGUACCUAUGCGUCCUCGUGAGAUGUAUUAUUUAAAGGUAUGCCUGCGCUCCUUUCAAGAGUCUUGUGUGGCGGCACACAACAUUCAAAGAGAGAGCAAAUCGCGGUAUUUUUGCUUGUACUUCGGUACCAAUGGACACAUAUUGCUUUUUGUGAUUUCGGCGAGUCUGUUGUUUAAGCACAGGGCACGUAAGGAGAGUAGGUAUGCUGGUGCAUUUCUUGACGCAUGGAGGCAAAUUGGGAAUUUCCAAAUUCCA
rnacentral:misc_RNA from 1 species